UGAAGGCUGAAAUUCGCCUUCAUGAAGCUGGAAUUGCUAGUAAUGGCAGGUCAGCAUACUGCCGUGAAUACGUUCCCGGGCCUUGUACACACCGCCCGUCACACCAUGAGAGUUGGGAAUACCCGAAGCCUGUGAGCUAACUUAUAGAGGCAGCAGUCGAAGGUAGAAUCAAUGAUUGGGGUGAAGUCGUAACAAGGUACC
rnacentral:rRNA from 1 species